CAGAGCUCCUCAGCUCACUUGAUCCACCAACCUCAGCCUCCCAGUGACUUGGAUUACAGGCACAUGCCACCGCGCCCGGCGAGCAACUCAGCUGCAGCACAGACAAACUGCCCAGUGAACAUACUACUUUGUGGUUAAAGGAAUUCCUGCCUCAGUCGCCUCCAUUCCUUUCAGUCACCUGACCUGUGACCACCUUUACUAUUGUCAGUCAUCCUAGUGUGUGUGAUCUCAUCCAUCUUCUCUGCUCAAUUAUAUUGACUUAGAUAUUAUCGUGCUUCAUCACCACAGACAGAGACCAUGUUCUUGGAAAUAACGUUUAUUAAGCAAGCAAUGUAUCUUCUAAAAAAAUGAACAAAAAACAACACAAACACAGAUACUGCAUUUUACUAACCAUCAUUCAAUUUAAGGAUCGUGAUUUGCAUAGCUGCAAAAAAAAAAUGUGUUUUAGGAAGUCAACAUCAUGAUCAAUUUAUUUUUCUGCAGCUUUUACAAAUGUUAUAAUUUAAAUAAAGAAUAGUAAUACAAAACAUUGGUACAGAAUCUGUUAAGCAUUAUUCUGUCUGGACCUCUGGCAGUCUCUAUGGGGGUACCACAGGGUUCAAUUCUUGGGCCAACUCUUUUCUCUGUAUACAUAAAUGAUGUCGCUCUUGCUGCUGGUGAAUCUCUGAUCCACCUCUACGCAGACGACACCAUUCUGUACACUUCUGGCCCUUCUUUGGACACUGUGUUAACAACCCUCCAGACGAGCUUCAAUGCCAUUCAACUCUCCUUCCGUGGUCUCCAACUGCUCCUAAACACAAGUAAAACUAAAUGCAUGCUCUUCAACCGAUCGCUGCCUGCACCUGCCCGCCUGUCCAGCAUCACUUCUCUGGACGGUUCUAACUUAGAAUUUGUGGACAACUACAAAUACCUAGGUGUCUGGUUAGACUGUAAACUCUCCUUCCAGACUCACAUCAAUCAUCUCCAAUCCAAAGUGAAAUCUCGAAUUGGCUUCCUAUUUCGCAAAAAGCAUCCUUCACUCAUGCUGCCAAACAUACCCUCGUAAAACUGACCAUCCUACCAAUCCUCGACUUCGGCGAUGUCAUUUACAAAAUAGCUUCCAAUACCCUACUCAACAAGCUGGAUGCAGUCUAUCAC
rnacentral:lncRNA from 1 species